rnacentral:lncRNA from 1 species
UGAAAACUCACCAUGUAAAUGAGUGAUCAGAAAUACAUACUAUUCUUGUAAAAUGGCUCAAAAUACCUGAUUACCUGUCAGUGUUAACAUCUUUUAAAAUAGUAGUCAUGGCCUACACAAGAUGCCUAGGUGUUUAUCUAUGUCAUGUGUGGAUAGCACCCAGAUAAAUCUCAGGAAAAAUGUAUAUGAAAUGGUCAGUGUGUUAGCGAUUAUUGAUAUGGAGUGUUCACCUGAAUGGUGAGCAUGAACAGAAGCAUGCUUGUGCCAACAAAGAAGAAAGAAGCUCACCUGGAUGUAGCUCAGCUGGCAAGUCCUGAAUAUGAAUAUCCAUGGAGCCAGUUUAUAGAAUCUUCAGAAAAAGAGUGGAAGAAGCUGUUUGUUUGAAUCUUUGUCUCAUACCUAGUACCAGACCAUUCAUGUUUGUAAAAAGUGUACUGAGCAAAGGCAAGCUGUUCCAACUCAACAUAUUUACUUCUAUGUUGCAUAAUCAUUCUGCUAGUCAGUCGUUUUAACAUCAAUAUGUCCAUAAUAAUAAUAGAAGGACUAGUGAUAAUAAUAACUCUCAUUUAUUUUUACGGUAAAUCAUUUUUGAAGAGUUUUAAAUUUAUUAUUCUAAUUGUGAAAAAAUGAAUGCACAGAGAAAUGGACAGACACGAAUAUGUCUUAUCUCUAUUGAAGAUGUUGUAAGGUGACAUGACUGAUUUUGGCAUAUCUAGUAUUCUUUUUCAAAACUCCAAACUCAUGAUGAAUGUCCUCUGCACUCUGCCUUCAAUCUUUCUAAAAGCAACAACUAAAUCUCAGUCACAUUUAGGAAAUGUAAAAAAUACACAAUGUUUCUUUGUGUAAAAUGUUUCUUGCAUAUGUUAAUAUCAAAAGCAACAGUGUACAAGCAUUCUAAAAUGUCCAUAAUAAUAGUGACACAAAGUAUACAUUAAAAGGAAGUGAGUAAUUUGUGACUUCAAAUUUGUUAAUUUUGCUUGACAGAUAAUUUAAUUUUGUUUUAACUGUCUUCAUAUACAAGUUACAUAUUUUCCCAUUUCAAAAGAUUCAUGGACUAAAAUAAACUAUAGGUAGUUAGCA